rnacentral:misc_RNA from 1 species
AGGAGCCGGAUGCGGUAGUUCCGCUCGUCCGGAUCUGUGCGGGGGGCACUCAGUAAUGAGUGUCCCUACCGCGAG